ACGAAUACAAUAAAAUAAUCGAUUUCAAAAAAAUAAAAAUAAUAAUGCAGACGAUGAAGAAAAUUAUUUUGUGUCACACAAUGCUCUUAAAAAUUCAGGAAAAAUUACGCCACAUGUAGAAAAAAGACACAUACGAACGCAUUUAAAUAAAAAUUUGAGCAGGAGUGGGUCUCAAAGUUAUAUUUUUUUUUCAAAAUUUCGAAAUGCCAGAAAAUCUAUAACAUUUUUUUGUACUGUGUAUUUUUUUUCAUUUUAUUUUUAGUAUUAGAUAUUUGAAAAAAAAACAGUUUGAAGAUAUUUAUAAAUCUAGAAAAGCCGUAAGAGUACAUUUGAAUAUGAAUUAGAGUAGUACUGAAUCUCAAAAUCCAAAAAAAAAAAUUUUCAAAAUUUUAAUAUUUUUUUAGUACAAAAAUUUUUGAUGAAAUUUUUUUUGAUAAUUUUUCUUGAUACACCAUGGUAGGAUGUACAUUCAGUAUUUUUUUCAAAUUUUUAUCUCAGAUCUAUUGAGGAUGGCGUGAAAUAAACGAAAAAGUACGUUUGUCACUAUAGAUCCUACGUCAAACCACAUAGGGGUUCAAAUAAACCGCCAAAAUUUCUUAUUUAAUAUCCUUUACAAUAUUUGCCAUACAGCUAGUGAUUUGGUUUGGGGGCACUUUUUACUCCCUUACCUAACCACUCUUUGGAAACAUAAAAAAAAAAUUUUUUGAUACCGCGCAACACUGAAAAAAAUCUGAAAAAAAUCACACAUAUCUAGAAAAGCCGUAGAAACACAUUAAAAUAUGAAUUAGAGUAGUACUGAAUCUCUAAAUUCCAAAAAAAAAAUUUUCAAGAUUUCAUUAUUUUUUUUAGUACUAAAAUUUUUGAUGAAAUUUUUUUUUGAUAAUUUUUUUUGAUACAUCGUAGUAAGAUGCACAUUCAGUAUUUUUUUCAAAUUUUUAUCUCGGAUCUUUUGAGGAUGGCGUGAAAUUAACGAAAAGUACGUUUUUCACUAUAGAUCCUACGUCAAACCAGAUAGGGGUUCAAAUAAACCGCCAAAAUUUCUUAUUUAAUAUCCUUUACAAUAUUUGCCAUACGGCUAGUGAUUUGGUUUGGGGGCACUUUUUACUUCCUUACCCGGCCAGGCCCUUUAUCAUCGACAGAGGAAGCGGUAGUAAAUUUGUUGUCUCUCGAUUGUGCGGUUUACCAAUCAGUGUCAGACUUGAAAAUGCAGCGAACUACGAUGAAUUCGAACAUCUCGACUGGAUUGAGGUGUCCAAUAGUCUCUUGGGCCGACAAGGAAGCUGGAGGUUGUUCGGUCAGCAGCGGGAAAGAUGUUCUUCCGCGAAAGUCUGUUCGAGGAGGAAAUGAGACAGAAUCGACGAAAAGUUUUAAAACUGCGUAAAAGUCAACGCGGCGGCAGCACUGGAGGUAUGAUUUGAAUCAAGGCUCCUCUAUAUACAUAUACCAGGUGAAACAAUCAUAUGAAAUGCCCUUUAUACAUUCAUAUAAGCGCCUUGAUUAGAAUCUGUACCGUGGCUUGUGGCGGACGACAUUCCGAUGCAAUUGGAUAACAGUUGCCAUCUCGAG